rnacentral:lncRNA from 1 species
UUGAAUUCAAGUGAGUGCACUAUCAGAGUGCGAUCCGGUAAGCUGUUGGGGUUUAUUGUCAGAGAGGAAUCCGAGGUUGAUCCUGAAAAAAAAAAAGAAAAAAAAAGGAAAAGAGAGAAAAAUGCCUGAACCGAGAAUAAAGAAAGAGGUUCGUGGUCUCUUAGGCAGAUGGAACUACAUGUCAUGGUUCACAUCUUAUC